GGGUAGAUGGCGAAAUUGGUAUACGCAUUAUAUUCAAAAUAUAACGGCUUUAGUCAUGAGGGUUCGAGUCCCUUUCUACCUA
rnacentral:tRNA from 1 species